CCCGCCCCGCGCCGGGCUCUCGGGCGGCGGGUCUGCGGCGACGGCUGCUGCCACCCUCGCCAACCCCGAGGUCCCGGAGAGGAGGCGCCGCGGCCGACACCAGGCCGCCAUGUUGUUUACAGACUGUCGCCCGAGAGGGCGAGGAGAGGGUCCCCGCGCCCCGGCCGUACUGUAGGGUCUGGACUCGGGGGAUCAAGGCGAGGGCUGCCAAGGGUCGGGAGGAGAUGGAGAGUGCCCGGGUGGCGCCUGGAGGGCAGGGCGGGCGCCCUGGCUUGGGGCGCCUGGACCCGCCGGAUCCGGGCUGGGGGCCUUUCCCUCCCCAGGGCCCACAAAGCCGUCUGCCGCGGGGCUGCUGCUUGUCCCUGCCGUCCCUGCUCCCCCCAGGACAGCGGUGGCGAGCCCGCGCAUCCUCGGGAGACAGCCCUGCCUUUCUUAGUGGACCGACCCUUUCUAGAUCCCUAGUAGCCCCCCCCUACAAAGAAAAAGCCUGGGGGUGAGGGGCAGUGAGACGUCGUGGCCCCCCCUUCCCACCGCAGGGCCGGACGGCCAGGCCACACUUUCCAUUCCUGUUCCUCUUGUCCCCCCUUUCUCUGCCAAAUCCGCCUCUCCCUUCCCGUCCCCACGCGCCUACAUCUCUCUCUCUCUCUCUGCAUCCCUUUGCUGCCUCCUAUUCCUUCCUUGUUCCUUUCCUUUUAUAAAUUACAGAUGGACAGACCCAAAUUCUGCUGCAUAAUCCGUAAUGGGUAAGAACUUUAAAACUGAGGCGGAAAGCUUUUAAUCGUGAUAUUAAAACAACCCCAACCCCCACGCCACCUAGACAAUUUCCUUUCCUUUCUUAUCGCCCCCUCUUUUUCCUUUCUCAGUCUCUUGGAGCUGCGGAGACACCUGCUGAUCUAAGAGAAGGGAGAGUCAGAAUGCGCUGUAUGACCUUAAUAUUAAAAAUAGGGAGUUUCUCGACAUCCAAGUCUUCAGAUUUUUAAGUUGUGGCUUUGUUGUUUUACUCGAGGUUGAGUGAAUUUUCAGAUCGAGAUCCAAAUAUGAGAACCAAAAAUAUGAAACAAACCCAGAUGAUGUUUGGGUUAUCUAUUGCUUUACCUAAUUAACAGUUAUUAGCAUAAGUAAGUACUAGUUACAGUGCAUUGCGAGAUGAGGCUGCCUGUUUUUCAAACCCAGAAUUUGUAACAAGCGGAUCUGAAGCAAUGUAAUGAAUAUAAUAAUUGGUAUUCAAGAUUACCUUCUAAAUUAUAAAUUCUGACUUUCGUUUAUAGAAAGUCUUUCUGGUUUUAAUAUAGUUGCUCUCAUCACCUAUUUAAAUGUUAAUUAGCAAAAGGUAUGGAGUAAGUGCCAUAUAGUCAGCAAAAAGUAUUUCAGUGAUAAUUAGCCUUGGAGGGAAAUGAUGUAUACACAGGUUACUCUGAAGCAUUCUCCUCCUUUCUAUUUUUCUUGAAUUCUUUUUCAGGAUUUUCUUUCCUUCUUAAACCUCUGAAAUACUUAUCCUACGGAGAGGAACAUACAAGUAUUUCCUAACUUUAGCAGGUCAGCAUGCCGAUCUUUUGAUAAAGCAACAACUCAGAUGUUAUUCCAAAAACGGAAGCUUUUAUUUUAACUACAAGAUAUUCUAUGCUGCUAAGAACGUACUGAAAUACUGUUUUGAAUCUGUACAACUCGUUCUUUAGAAUAUCCCCAGUGGUGUGGUCAUGGCACAGAAGGGAAGGACCGUGUCGACUUAGUUGUUGAGUUCCCAUGUGUAGCACACUAUCUGGAGCGUACUGCUGAGGAAGCACUCGAUAAGCUCAGAAUGGAUGAAACAAGACGUUUUCUUAAUGUGGCUUGUAAGGGGCUCUGAAAACAAUUUCCAAAGAGGAAUUUCAAAAACAUUCUGAGUGACGGGCUGCUCUCAUUCAGGAAGCUGAAGUGCUGAGUUACAUCAUCAGCCACAGGAUAAAUAUAUCCUGUGAUAUGAGGAUUGCCAACACGAGGACACCUUCCAGAAUGUCAAGGAGUUCCUGGCUUCAGGGUCUGUGCUAAUGCAUUCUGAUGAUUGUGGACCAUU